GGGGUCCCCCAACGGCCCCUGGGGGGCUCCGGGGGGGCUGCCCGAAGGAGGGGGUCCCGAGCAGAGCCCCCCGCCCCGGCUGGGGCUCCCCCCCGGCCCAGCAGCCUGGCUGGGGGCUGAACUGGGAGCACUGGAGGAGUCCCUGAGGGGGCUCAAGGAAAUCGAGGACCAUUAUUGGCAGCUCUUCCUGGCCAAGCGCGGCCUCUUCACAUGAGGGCAGGAGAAUUGGCGACUCCCUCUCAAUUCGGGGCCGCAGUACCAGGAGGCGCCACCGGAGGGCGACAAACACCGAGCCCGAUGUUUGUGGGGAGGGGGUUCCCCACGCCCCCCCACUUUUAUUUUGGGGUGGGGGCGUCCCCCCACAUCCCGCUAGGGGGGUGCCCCCCCCCGUGCCCCACCCGCGCUGUUUGUUCUGGUUUUAUAUAUUUGCUGCGAUUUUAUAUGAAUUUAUAUGGGGGGAGACUCCUGCCCCAUUUUAGUGCUGGGGGGUGAUGUACAUAAAUUUAUAUUUGGGGGUGGCCCCAAAAAACUCCCCCCGCCGCUUCCGCCCCCUCCAGUUUGGGUGGAAAACCAAAGAAUUUCAGGAAAUUCAAAUAAAGCCAAUGUUGCUUCUGU